GUCUGAAUUGGCUUCCAUUCACUUCACAGGGUAUCUCUAAGUGCUGGAGCACGUGAUUUUCAAUUCUACUCCCAACAACUUGGGAGGGGAAAGACCACAAAUAUUGAAAAAAUGACUUUGAUACAUUACAGAAAGCCUUGUAACUAGUGGUGUGACAUUUUCAUUUAGAAAGAUCCCCAAAAUCUCAUAUCAAAGCCAACAAGAAGCCUUGUGCAGGCAGCCCUGAGGUUUGGUUUGAAAUCUUGAUCCUGAUCCAAUUUAUGCUGGUUAGUUCAUCCUAAAAGAAUCAAUGUGUAGGAUCCUAACGUGUUCCAAUAAAGCAGCAUCCUUAAUUUGUUCAGUAUCUCAGGUAAAUUAAAAAUUAAUAAUAAUUAACUGGACUUUCUCCACAGCUCUGGUUUCUUUUGCACUGUCCCUACCCCUCAGGAGCUGACUGCAAGCUCACACAGGUGAUGUUCCUUAAAUCCUUAACUUCCAGAAGGACAGAAUUGCAUCAGAACCUCCACUUUCAGCUCACUCAGCUCAGUUCAUCUCAUCUCUUACCUGGGCCAAGACAAGUGCUGCCCAUCUCACCCUUCAUGGAGAUCACUGGACAAGAGGAGUCGAGGCCACUGUCUGCUGUGAGCUUCCCAGCUGGUCCACCUGGGAAUUGUAAAAUUCCCUUUCCACGCACAGGACCUGGGCUGCCUUUCAGCAUGCUUGAGACCGGGGAGUGUGACAACCCAGUCUGCCCAGUGAUGGAAAGUUAGAAACUGGAAAUGUACCUGGAUGCCACCCUGAGUCAGCCCAAACCGGAGCAUCUCUACAAAACACCUAGAUGUGAACAAACUACCGUCCUCUGACAAAAAUAUUCCGUCUGAGAAUUUCUGACCAGCUCCGGCGGUAAACACCUCCAGGGUGUCAUUUUUGUCUGAUACAGGGCAAAAAUUAUUCGGGUACCUGUUGCUCGGGGUGGAAAGAUGAGGGAAUGGAAUAGUAAAUUAAAGGGGUUGGAGCAAAAAGCAGCUGAUUGUCUGAGCACGGCUGGCCAAGUUGUGUUCAGGUAUCUGUGU
rnacentral:lncRNA from 1 species